GAUGAACGCUGGCGGCGUGCCUAAUACAUGCAAGUCGAGCGAACAGACGAGGAGCUUGCUCCUCUGACGUUAGAGGCGGACGGGUGAGUAACACGUGGACAACCUACCUAUAAGACUGGGAUAACUUCGGGAAACCGGAGCUCAUACCGGAUAAUAUAUUGAACCGCAUGGUUCAAUAGUGAAAGACGGUUUUGCUGUCACUUAUAGAUGGAUCCGCGCCGCAUUAGCUAGUUGGUAAGGUAACGGCUUACCAAGGCAACGAUGCGUAGCCGACCUGAGAGGAUGACCGGCCACACUGGAACUGAGACACGGUCCAGACUCCUACGGGAGGCAGCAGUGGGGAAUCUUCCACAAUGGGCGAAAGCCUGACGCAGCAACGCCGCGUGAGUGAUGAAGGUCUUCGGAUCGUAAAACUCUGUUAUUAGGGAAGAACAAAUGUGUAAGUAACUAUGCACGUCUUGACGGUACCUAAUCAGAAAGCCACGGCUAACUACGUG
rnacentral:rRNA from 1 species